UGAUACUUAUACAGUCCUGAUCUCUUAGACUACAUGGGUUCAAGAGAUUUGUGGUCACUCACCAUUAGAUGUAAAUUCAACGGUUCACUCUCUCUUACACUCAUUUUAAGAAACUUUUUUGAACUAUGGGAUUAAUAUUCAACGGUGGGUGACCACAAUAUCUUGAACUUCUGUGAUCCAAGAGAUCAGGACUGUAUACUUAUAA
rnacentral:miRNA from 1 species